GAUCAAACAUCGAAGAAGAAGAAACAAGAAAGUAGCAGCCAAAGCCAAAGCAAGAAAGCCUAUAAGCACAUUGCCGAAGAAGCGUUCAUAUUAAUUAUCCAUGAAUAAUAAUAAUUAAUAUGCUAAUAAUAACUGUAUUGACUAACAUUGCAAGUUACGGCUAAGUUACCAAUUGUAUAAUUUUUUUAACUUGAACUUGAGACCAGAUUGGAGAGUGAUGUGGGUGCGCUUUGUUUGGGGCCGGCUUGGCACGUUGUCCUAUUGGCCGGGGAUGAUUGUUCAGGACGAGAAUGGAUAUUUCCUAAGACAAAAAGCUUACUCAUAAAAACUAUUAUGCCAGAAUUAUGUCAAGAUACAAUUUUAUGUCGAGUGGUUGGCAGAUAGGAGGCGCUCCUGGUUAAGAUUUUCUUAUCUGGCGCCUUUCGCCAGACCAGAGAACCCCAAAAGACAUUUCAUAAGAAUUUGUCUUCACUAUGGGAACUGCUAAUACCAAGGCCGAUGCAACGAAAAAAUGAAAAAAUUUGUUAUCGAGGCACUUACAUUUGAGAUGGAGCUAUUAUUGCAAAUGGCCGCCAUGGAAAAAUCAUUCAGCAUUGGUUGGUGAAAGCGGACUUCAAAUUGAGUGAGUUGGGCGGGCACAGAGCAAGACAAUAUUAUUGUGUUAUCUAGUGUUGAAAAAGCAGUGUUGUGGAACAGGGUGACUGUAAUAGAAUAUUUAGAAGAGAUCUGCAUUCAAAAAACUCGCAAAUUUUAACACAUACGGUUUCUGUGUUUCAUAAAACUGUGGAUAGGUUAAAAUGAUGUUCCUCCAAUAAUCAGGUAUCCCCUGAGACAUCCUAUAAUAAAUAAGCAAUAUCAAUUAUUAUUGGGUGCAAAUGUGCAGUUUUUUGAGUGCAGUCAAUCGUUAUCAAGCGAUCAAUAAUAUAAUUGAGGGUGGAAAUUGCUAUUAUUAAUAAAAUAAUGAAAAAUCCAUGCCAUGAUAUAAAUAUGUAUAAUUUGUCUUUGAUAUAUGUAAACAUAUGUUAUAUAUUGUUCAAAAAAUGUAAAAAACCGUCAUUGCAAAUGGCUAUUAACAUGGAAAUUGAAAGAGACUAGACAUCUGCGAAAAGAUUUCUUUUGCAGAUUAAAACAUUAUUUUCCAGUAUUAUCUGCAGUCAAGCAAAACAAAUUAUCAAUGACCUAUUGUCAUUGCAAUUCCCACAUAAAUAACAAAAUAAUUUUAGGAAUGUUUCAUUGAAUUGAAAAUUAUUAUAUUCUUGCCAGUCAAGUUAGAAUAAUUCGAAUAAUUGAGGAUGAGCUCUUUCAUUUUAAAUCAAAAACUAGAAAAAAUAUUAUCCAUUAUAUAAUACAGGGUGUUUGAAAAGGUGUAAAUUAAUGAAAAACUACAUCGACAAGUACAUACAAUGGAAGAGAGAACCAGAGAACCUUGUCAUAGGUUAACUCUUUGAAGCCCAAGACUUGAACCGCUAUUAAGGUUGCAUAUGCACAUGUGACUUGAAAAAAUAAAUGUUGUUUUUUAUGUUAAUGAGUUGUUAUGAGUCUAAAAAAGACUAACCACCAUGCAUGAGCAACAAUUAAAAAGGUGGUUACCUACGCUAGCCACCAAACUUCAAAGAGUUAAUAAGUAUAAAAGAUUAAAUACUUGUGUAUAUUAGGUAUCGCUUACUCUUGUAUAGAAUAGGUAUAUGAAUAGAAUAGAAUACUCUUGUAUACUAUAGGUAUCGCUUACUCUUGUAUAGAAUUGCACUUUAAAUACAGUAGAACCCGGUUACAACGCGGUUGAAGGGACCAUCGGUUUCUGAGCGUUAUAGCCGGAGUAGCGCUAUAACAAGAGUUGCCAUUUAUCAACAGUGGAAAUUGAUUCUAAGACUUGAAUUGAUUGUUUUGUCAAAACUGCUAAGAUGAUUUAAUUUUUUCAUUGAAAUUCCAAAUGCCACGAACUGUAGAGCCUGCUAAAUCAAAUUUUCGACACACAUCAAUUUGUUUCCGACCAUUUUCCAAACACUCAAUCACUUCAAGUUUCAGUUCAAAUGUUAAUGAUUUAUGCUUUGCUAUAAUGUAGAUGAUCACAGUACAAAACUAACAACAGUAGGAAAAUAAACGGUACGAGAAUACCAUGUUGCGCACAAUUACUGUCAAUCUACUAACAAUGUCCAGUUCACAAAACAUAACUGUCUUCCCAGUUGGGGAACAGAGAGGGAAAGAGUAGGGGUGAUUGACACCAUAAAACUGGUUAUAAUGGGAAAUUCCAAUAGGUGAGAGAGGCUCUAAGCUAUUCCAAAAAUAACACUUCUGUUCAGUCACUGGUGAUUUGUUUAAUAAUAGUCUAUUUUGUUAAAUUU